rnacentral:lncRNA from 1 species
CUUGCGACCGGUUGGUUUUUCCCUGCUCGCUUACUGUGUGUUGACGACCGGCAAGCACACUCGCACGCCCUCUGCGAGAAUGAAGACUUCUACGCUCAUCGUUCUGCUGGUGGUAGGCGCCUGCCUCGUUGCGAGCAUCGACGCCCUGGCGGCUUCGCCCAACGCGAGGGCAAAGAGGAGCGACUGUGUCUAUGAAGAGUGCACCGACGAAGAGUGCGCUGCGCGUGGAAUGCAGUGCAGGCGGAAGGGGUGCGGAGGUUCCCACUGCGUGUAGCUGAUGCAUUCGUCAUUGUGGGCGUAAUGGCGCAGCAAUUCACCGUGUCAAGAGUUCAUGGUUCCUUCGACUCAAAUGGAGCUUAAGGGAAGCAAUAAAGAAUGGCAAAUGGGAUGACUGCAAAUUUGAUAUGACGCCGUGCGCAGAUUCAACUGCUGAUGAAAAAUUAAAAUUUAUCAAAACGAAAAUUGAUCUCAC